UACGGAGGGUGCAAGCGUUAUCCGGAUUCACUGGGUUUAAAGCGUGCGCAGGCGGUUGUGCAAGACAGGUGUGAAAUCCCCGGGCUUAACCUGGGAACUGCACUUGUGACUGCACAGCUGGAGUACGGCAGAGGGGGAUGGAAUUCCGCGUGUAGCAGUGAAAUGCGUAGAUAUGCGGAGGAACACCGAUGGCGAAGGCAGUCCCCUGGGCCUGUACUGACGCUCAUGCACGAAAGCGUGGGGAGCAAACAGG
rnacentral:rRNA from 1 species